CCUACGGGAGGCAGCAGUGGGGAAUAUUGCACAAUGGGCGAAAGCCUGAUGCAGCAACGCCGCGUGAAGGAAGAAGGGUUUCGGCUCGUAAACUUCUAUCUAUAGGGACGAAAGAAAUGACGGUACCUGCAUAAGAAGCCCCGGCUAACUACGUGCCAGCAGCCGCGGUAAUACGUAGGGGGCAAGCGUUAUCCGGAAUUACUGGGUGUAAAGGGUGAGUAGGCGGCAUGGUAAGCCAGAUGUGAAAGCCUUGGGCUUAACCCGAGGAUUGCAUUUGGAACUAUCAAGCUAGAGUACAGGAGAGGAAAGCGGAAGUCCGAGGGUAGCGGUGAAAAGCGUAGAUAAUAGGAAGAACACCAGUGGCGAAGGCGGGUUCCUGGACAUUAACCGACGCUGGGGCACGAAGGCCAGGGGAGCGAAAGGGAUGAGAUACCCUUGUAGUC
rnacentral:rRNA from 1 species